AUGAGGGCCCCCACACAGCUCCUGGUGCUGCAGCUGCUCUGGCUCAUAGGUGCCAGAUGUGACAUCCAGAUGACCCAGUCUCCAGCCUCCCUGUCUGUGUCACUGGGAGAAAGUGUCACCAUGACAUGCCAGGCAAGUCAGAACAUUGGCAUUGCUUUAUCAUGGUAUCAGCAGAAACCAGGGAAACCUCCUCAGCUCCUGAUCUAUCAUGCAAACAGCUUGGCAGAUGGGGUUCCAUCAAGGUUCAGCGGCAGUAGAUCUGGCACACAGUUUUCUCUAAAGAUAAGUCGUGUGCAGCCUGAAGAUGUGGCAACCUAUUACUGUCAUCAGUAUGUUAAUUUUCCUCCCACAGUGAUUCAAGUCAUAACAUAA